rnacentral:rRNA from 1 species
CCUACGGGGGGCUGCAGUGGGGAAUAUUGGACAAUGGGGGCAACCCUGAUCCAGCCAUGCCGCGUGUGUGAAGAAGGCCCUCGGGUUGUAAAGCACUUUCAGUGAGGAAGAACGCCUGGUGGUUAAUACCCAUCAGGAAAGACAUCACUCACAGAAGAAGCACCGGCUAACUCCGUGCCAGCAGCCGCGGUAAUACGGAGGGUGCGAGCGUUAAUCGGAAUUACUGGGCGUAAAGCGCGCGUAGGUGGCUUGAUAAGCCGGUUGUGAAAGCCCCGGGCUCAACCUGGGAACGGCAUCCGGAACUGUCAAGCUAGAGUGCAGGAGAGGAAGGUAGAAUUCCCAGUGUAGCGGUGAAAUGCGUAGAGAUCGGGAGGAAUACCAGUGGCGAAGGCGGCCUUCUGGACUGACACUGACACUGAGGUGCGAAAGCGUGGGUAGCAAACAGGAUUAGAUACCCCGGUAGUC